rnacentral:rRNA from 1 species
CAAUAGCAUAUACUAGUGUUGUUGCGGUUAAAACGUUCGUAGUCGAAUUACAUACUUGCAGAUCGUUUGAAGCGGUCAGGAAGUUUCUAUUGAUAUAUCACCACAGAGGUCACACGUCUACGGAGAUGUAUCAAUAAGUUACCUUGAAAAAAUUAUGGUGUUCAUAGCAAGCAUAUGAUGCUCUGGAUACAAUAGCAUGGGAUAACAGCGCUUGGACUCCGACCCGUAGUGCGUUAGCGAAUGGGAUUGGAGGAAUGAUUAAUAGGAGCAGUCGGGGUAGUCGUAUUCCAUCGCUAGAGGUGAAAUUCUUUGACCGAUGGAGGACGAACAACUGCGAAAGCAUCUACCCAGAAUGUUUUCAUUGA